rnacentral:rRNA from 1 species
UACAGAGGGUGCGAGCGUUGUCCGGAAUCACUGGGCGUAAAGGGCGCGUAGGUGGCGACCCAAGUCGAUGGUGAAAGCUCGUCGCUCAGCGACGAGUCGGCCACCGAUACUGGGUUGCUCGAGCACUGUAGAGGCAGGCGGAAUUCCGGGUGUAGCGGUGGAAUGCGUAGAGAUCCGGAAGAACACCGGUGGCGAAGGCGGCCUGCUGGGCAGUAGCUGACACUGAGGCGCGACAGCGUGGGGAGCAAACAGG